rnacentral:rRNA from 1 species
GAUGAACGCUGGCGGCGUGCCUAAUACAUGCAAGUCGAGCGAACAGAUGAGGGGCUUGCUCCUCUGACGUUAGCGGCGGACGGGUGAGUAACACGUGGAUAACCUACCUAUAAGACUGGGAUAACUUCGGGAAACCGGAGCUAAUACCGGAUAAUAUAUUGAACCGCAUGGUUCAAUAGUGAAAGACGGUUUUGCUGUCACUUAUAGAUGGAUCCGCGCCGCAUUAGCUAGUUGGUAAGGUAACGGCUUACCAAGGCGACGAUGCGUAGCCGACCUGAGAGGGUGAUCGGCCACACUGGAACUGAGACACGGUCCAGACUCCUACGGGAGGCAGCAGUAGGGAAUCUUCCGCAAUGGGCGAAAGCCUGACGGAGCAACGCCGCGUGAGUGAUGAAGGUCUUCGGAUCGUAAAACUCUGUUAUUAGGGAAGAACAAAUGUGUAAGUAACUAUGCACGUCUUGACGGUACCUAAUCAGAAAGCCACGGCUAACUACGUG